UGGUGGCUGCCAGGAUACAAUGGUGUCUAA
rnacentral:piRNA from 1 species